AGUCAGAAGAAGGAGGAAGGAGAGAGGACUGGAGCUUGGAGGUGUGCUGUGAGACUUGAAAGGUCAGAGACCCAAAGUAAGGGAGACCCUCCCAGCAGGGGAUGGAGAGUCUCUCCCCCAGCAUCUAGGGACUGAAGAUACCCCACCCAAGGAGGAAGAGGUUUUGCCAUCAUAACAAGAAUGAUAUUUCCAACAAACUCCAUUCCCUCUCACCGAUACAUAACCAUCCCUUCAGCAAGAGUUUCUGAAAACCAUAGAAGGAGAAGAGCCGGACUCCAUCAAGUUAAAAAGGAAUUUUGCUAUGCCAAUCCAAUUAACCCUGGGAAGUACUAUGGGAUGGGUGCCAGUACAAAAUACUAACACAGGACCUUUCACUAGCUUUUGGAUUUACAUGUGCUUAUGCGGGAGUGGAACAUACAUGUUCUAGAUAUACAGUUUUAAAGGUAUGUAUUAUGCCAGAAUUCCAGCCUAAUCUAGGCCAUAACACACUGCUGCAUAAGUGCAUGCAUGAGAGAGUUCACUAUAAUUACUUUUUAACACCGAUGUCAUAUGGUCAUGAAGAUAUAUAUAGCCAACACACUAAAGGUGCAAAUCCAUAUGCUUAGUUUACAAGUGUCCGUUAUUAGGUAUUUGAGGCUGGCACUUGGUUAAUAGGCACUGGAUGCCAAAUAUACAUUCAAAUUCUCUCAGGAUUCUACAGACACCAAACAGUAUAAUCUUCAGGGCUACUUUAAAUAUUUUAAGUAUUAAAAACCAUCUUCCUGUCC